rnacentral:rRNA from 1 species
CCUACGGGGUGCAGCAGUGGGGAAUAUUGCACAAUGGGCGAACGCCUGAUGCAGCAACGCCGCGUGAAGGAAGACGGUUUUCUGAUUGUUAACUUCUGUUCUUAGUGAAGAAUAAUGACGGUAACUCAGGAGCAAGCCACGGCUAACUACGUGCCAGCAGCCGCGGUAAUACGUAGGUGGCACGCGUUGUACGGAAUGACUGGGUGUAAAGGGAGCGUAGGCGGGAAGACAAGUCAGCUGUGAAAACGACGGGCUUAACCUGGAGACUGCAGUUGAAACUGGAUUUCUUGAGUGAAGUAGAGGUUGGCGGAAUGCCGAGUGUAGCGGUGAAAUGCGUAGAUAUUCGGCAGAACACCGAUGGCGAAGGCAGCCAACUGGGCUUUAACUGACGCUGAGGCUCGAAAGUGUGGGGAGCAAACAGGAUUAGAUACCCUGGUAGUC